rnacentral:rRNA from 1 species
CGUAGGGUGCAAGCGUUAAUCGGAAUGACUGGGCGUAAAGGGUGCGUAGGCGGCCUGAUAAGUAGGGGGUGAAAUCCUGCGGCUUAACCGCAGGGCUGCCUUCUAAACUGUCGGGCUAGAGCACGGUAGAGGCAGAUGGAAUUCCCGGUGUAGCGGUGGAAUGCGUAGAGAUCGGGAAGAACAUCAGUGGCGAAGGCGGUCUGCUGGGCCGUUGCUGACGCUGAGGCGCGACAGCGUGGGGAGCAAACAGGAUUAGAUACCCUGGUAGUCCACGCCGUAAACGAUGGACACUAGGCGUCGGGGGGAGCGACCCUCCCGGUGCCGUCGCUAACGCAGUAAGUGUCCCGCCUGGGGAGUACGGCCGCAAGGCUG